rnacentral:lncRNA from 10 species
UUUAAAUAGAAAAAAGAAUUGGAUCUUUGACUAAAGAACAACAAAAACCCAAACAAAAAAUCCAGGUGGAUUAAAGACCUAAAUAUGAAAAGAAAUACAGAAGAAAACAGAUGUAGGGGAGGACUUCCUGAGUAAAACACAAAAAGCACAAAGUAAAAGUUCAACAACAAACUUACUGAGAACAGAUGAAUGAAACCUUGCCUGUCCUAUAAGGAAUACAGUCAUCUGCCAGAAGAAAAAUGGUGAUUCUUCCCAGUCCAAAGGUGAAGAUGGUGACUGUGAAAGUAUCAGCUUUAGCCAGACCACUGAUGAAGCUCCCAGAUGUCACAGCAUCCAUGGGCUUGUGAUCUCAGGUGAAGGCAUUGAACCCUGAGCCCUGGAUUCCCAUCUCUUCACUUGCUCCCUCCACCACCCCACCCCCAUAUUCAGAAUGGCCUCUAGGCUUCUAGGUUUGUGUCUUUAAUGGCACCUAGGCAAUAAAUAAAAAAUACAGUGCAGUGCUGACUGCA